GGCCUCGUAAUUCAGUGGUAGAAUGCCUGCUUUACAAGUGACAAGUGCAGACUACAUCGAUCGCAGUAUGCCGUGGGUUCGAACCCCACCGAGGUCA
rnacentral:tRNA from 1 species